rnacentral:rRNA from 1 species
AUUGAACGCUGGCGGCAUGCCUUACACAUGCAAGUCGAACGGCAGCACGGGGCAACCUGGUGGCGAGUGGCGAACGGGUGAGUAAUGCAUCGGAACGUACCUUUCAGUGGGGGAUAACGUAGCGAAAGUUACGCUAAUACCGCAUAUUCUGUGAGCAGGAAAGCAGGGGAUCGCAAGACCUUGCGCUGAUUGAGCGGCCGAUGUCAGAUUAGCUAGUUGGUGAGGUAAAGGCUCACCAAGGCGACGAUCUGUCGCGGGUCAGAGAGGAUGAUCCGCCACACUGGAACUGAGACACGGUCCAGACUCCUACGGGAGGCAGCAGUGGGGAAUUUUGGACAAUGGGGGCAACCCUGAUCCAGCCAUGCCGCGUGAGUGAAGAAGGCCUUCGGGUUGUAAAGCUCUUUCGGCCGGGAAGAAAUCGCACGGGCUAAUACCCUGUGUGGAUGACGGUACCGGAAUAAGAAGCACCGGCUAACUACGUGCCAGCAGCCGCCGUAAGAC